UACGUAGGGGGCGAGCGUUGUCCGAAGUUACUGGGCGUAAAGCGCGCGUAGGCGGCUUUUUAAGUCUGGUGUGAAAGGUUCAGGGCUCAACCCGAACAGUGCACUGGAUACUGAAAGGCUUGAGAUCGGGAGAGGAGAGUGGAAUUCCUGGUGUAGCGGUGAAAUGCGUAGAUAUCAGGAGGAACACCGAUGGCGAAGGCAGCUCUCUGGCCCGAUACUGACGCUGAGGUGCGAAAGCGUGGGGAGCGAACGGG
rnacentral:rRNA from 1 species